UACGUAGGCAGCAAGCGUUGUUCGGAAUUACUGGGCGUAAAGAGUGUGUAGGCGGUGCUCUAAGUUCGGUGUGAAAUCUCCCGGCUUAACUGGGAGGGUGCGCCGGAAACUGGAGUGCUCGAGCGUGGGAGAGGAAAGCGGAAUUCCUGGUGUAGCGGUGAAAUGCGUAGAUAUCAGGAGGAACACCGGUGGUGUAGACGGCUUUCUGGACCAUAACUGACGCUGAGACGCGAAAGCGUGGGGAGCAAACAGG
rnacentral:rRNA from 1 species